CAGAAGAUGACAACAAAGUCAAAGCUCCUACUUCCAAAGCCUCCAAGAAAAAAAGAGUUGGUCUCAGGCCAUGGAAGAGCUCAACAAGGACUUUGAAAAGAGAUAGAAGGAAAAUUGGGAACAGAGAAAGAUCUUUGAUGGACUACAGGGUUUCCAUUGGAGAGGGUCUCAUUAUGCACAGCUACACUGGGAAGGGGCUCAAACUUCGAAUGCACCCUGCUGCACUUUGCUAACAAGGAAAAGGUUUCUCAAACAGCCCCUCGCUGGAAGAACUGUCAAAGAGAAUCUUUCUUCUUCAUUCUGGCUGAACUCUUGGGAAUCUUAGCUCAGUCCAGAUGGUGAACCUCAGCUGCUCUAUGAAACAGAUAAAAAAAACAUGUUCAGAAGUAUAUGAAAUGAUUUCCCCAAGAAGUUGUUUUGCAUAAUUGAUAGAACUUUGAACUUAUGGACAAGAAAAACUGCUGUCCCUGAUACUUAUUAGUUUUACACAUCUGGGUGAGUGAACUCAGGACAAGGUCUAUAAUGACAUUUUUAGCUGAAUUUCCAAAUCUUGGUGAUAUGAUUGUCCUCGAAUGACAAGGCACAAUUUGCAAAUGUCCUGUGGUGGGAAUGUGCUGUGUGGCUUCAUCCUGGCAAUUUGAUUCAGCCAAUUAAACAGCCCCUGAUGAGAAACCCUAGGACAGGAAGCCCUGCCAGAACCAUGCCCACCAAUUCUAUAGUUUGCAAUAUUUUCCCCCAAAGGCUCUGUGCAAUUGCUUUUAUAUUGAUCAUUUGAGGCAUGGCCACAGGAAACUGGUUUGAAAACUGAAAUGUCAGAUCAUUUUCCUGAAAACAUACCAGCUUUUUCCUGAUUAAAACACUGUAAGAAAGUAUUUCUUGUAUUAGUACAAAUCCCCCGAGGUAUCUCUUAUUCUAAAUAAUAGGCCUUUUUUAACUACUUGCCUAAAGAUAUCACACUGGUAAUCGGUGGUAAGGAGUGAAUGUACUAGCAUAGCAAGCUAUCAGCCCACCAUCCCCAAACAUGGUCAGCCUAAUAAAUAGGGAUUUUGGUAAUUCCUUCCAUGACUCUCUUGAAUUCUUCUUGGUCUAGUUUAAUCUCUCUGUCUCUUGAUUGGUUAAUUAAGAAACUGAAGAUAAA
rnacentral:lncRNA from 1 species